UACGGGGGGAGCAAGCGUUGUUCGGAUUUACUGGGCGUAAAGGGCGCGUAGGCGGCGCAACAAGUCACUUGUGAAAUCUCCGGGCUUAACCCGGAGGGGUCAAGUAAUACUGUCGUGCUAGAGUGCGGAAGGGGCUACUGGAAUUCUCGGUGUAGCGGUGAAAUGCGUAGAUAUCGAGAGGAACACCUGCGGCGAAGGCGGGUAGCUGGGCCGACACUGACGCUGAUGCGCGAAAGCCAGGGGAGCGAACGGG
rnacentral:rRNA from 1 species